rnacentral:lncRNA from 1 species
AUGUUCAUUUACAGAAAUGUUUCACAGGAGCUGAUAUCUCCCAACUGGUGUGUUUCCAUAGAUUAUCUCUGUAUGAAUGUACUUCUUGAAGGAAGGCAAGUGUUUGUCCUUUUUUGUUCCUCAGGUACAGUACGUUAUAUUAAGGGCAAGCGGUCAACACUGGGGGAAGACAAGAAGCAGAAGUACUUCCAGGAGGGAGCUGCAGCUAGGACACGGCUACCUUACACUGAGCUUACAAAGCCGAUGUCAUAAGAAGUUGGAAAAGAACUUCGGGCUGUGUACUGAAAAGUAGAUCAAAGCAGCUCAUGCUCUUUCUGCUUCCAUUUUGAUGGCAAGAAGAAGAAGAAUGCUUCCAAGAAGUGGCGUUCAUGUUCUCAGUGAACAGUGUGCCGAUCAUGGUCACACACCACAUGUGAUUUUAAAAGCAACAUGUCUGUGCCCCGCAACAAUCAAAAAGUUUGAAAUAUGUAUUGUUGUGACAUGUGUAAUAUUAGUGCAUGCUACAAUUUUUUAUUGAACAUUGUUCAGUUCUGUUUUCUACUUUGAUGACCACUUAGACCAAAAAGUGUUGUUUGCAGAUUCUUUCUUUUUAAAUCUAUAAAGCUCCUUUCAUUUUCUUAUUAAAAUUAGUUUGACAUAAAUGUUAGUGUUUCCUUUAUGAUCUUUAACGCUUACACUACACUGUAAACAUUUCUGUUACCUAUUUAUGAGACUGGGCUGCUUGAUUUGGAAGUGGAUGCAAAAUCACAUGGAGCGUGCUAUCGUUUCUUUUUUAAUAUGAUGGACUGAACACAGGAGGUAUCUGCUUUUGACUAGGCAAAGAAUAAUCUGAUCCCAUUUCUACCUGUCUCUACUGUUUGAAGAUUUCACUGAAGUUUGGUCAACUGUAAUUGUCAGGAUAUAUAUUUAUUCCAGCUCUCAUAGGGCAAAGGAAUGACUCGGACUUAUCAAAUGUUCUUUGAUUAGAUACACAAUGUGAAGUUCAUCAUUUUCUUACAAAUAAAACUAUAAUGACAAACAUGAACAGCUGUGCUUAUUUCUGACACAUGAAUGUUUAUAAGAAGAAAACUUUAUUUUCUGAAUGUGUUC